rnacentral:lncRNA from 1 species
UUCAGUGGCUCAUCUAGUAUAGUAGCAACUACUUCCAGUUAAUAUAGUAGCAAACUAUUUCCGGUAAACACAAUAGCAGGCUUUUAGUGACUCAACUAAUGUAGUAGCAGGUUUUUAGUGGCUCAGCUGGUGUAGUAGCAGUUAUUUAUAGUAAAUGCAGUAGCAGCUAUUUUCAAUAAAUGCAGUAGCAUAUUUUCAGUGGCUCAUCUGGUAUAGUAGCAACUACUUCCAGUUAAUAUAAUAGCAAAAAAUUUCCAAUAAAGACAGUAGCAGGCUUUUAGGGACUCAGAUAAUGUAGUAGCAGCUAUUUUCAAAAAAUGCAGCAACAUGUUUUUCGUGGCUCAACUAGUGCAGUAGCAACUAUUUCCAUAAAUGCAAUAAAAAGGUAUUUCCAGUAGGGUAGUAGCAGGUUUUUAGUGACUCAGCUAAUGUAGCAGCAACAGCAGCAGCAAUUUUAAAAAAAAUACAGGUUUUUAGGUGUUGUUGACAUCACGGCUACUGUUAUGGCUAGAAUUGCAUUAACUACUGCUACUCCUCUUUACUUUCCAUUCUCAUUAAAUGUUCAUCCCCCAAAGCACAACACCACCAAACUACGUCCACCAGUAGCACCAUAAAGCUAAAUCUAAAUCCUCGUUAUCCAUAACAAACUAAUUUCUAACUGACCAACAAUGCCCAGCACUACCAACUAUGCUGGAAUUAAAUUUGCAAGAUUGAAUUACGGUUGUAAUUAAACAAAAAAAGAAAGGCAUCCUUAUCUUCCUCUUUCAGAUCUUCUUCCUCUCUUUGUUUCAAAUCCUCUAGCACUGAAUCGGGCCUGAUUUCGCAUGCUUGAAUUGAAUUUAUCUCCCCUAAAGUAGAAUCCACGUCCAUCUCUCUUCUGUCCUAUAUCCCGCUGCCUUGAUCCAUCCCCAGACUGCUCCGCCUCCCUCUCUUCCGCCUCCGCCGCGUUAGCGCUCGAGCCCGAUUGUAUCCGAGGGGUCCGUUAUCUCAACAACGAGGCAAAUGACCAUUUGGUUGUUUUAGGGGUUCUCUGGCGAGAAGCUUGGCCAAGGCAAAGUCCUGUCGGGGGUUAGAGAGAGAGAGAGAGAGAGAGAGAGAGAGAGAGAGAGAGAGAGAGAGGAAAUAUGAAUGAUCAGAGAAAGAGAAAGAAUAUAUUUGUGGUUAGGGUAUUUUUGGUUGAGGUAGUGGUAGUUUUGUAGAUAUUUUAGAAAAUAUUGGGUUUUUGGGUAUUUGGCGUAAAAAUUGCUGACAGGGUAUAUUAUUAUACACUAUGAGCCUGGGCUUAUGUCCUUAUUUGUUUAAAUCUGUUGAAAGAUAGUUUUUUCUGUGUUUUGCAACUGUCUAUGGUAGUGGGAUGUCAUUUUCUAUUAUUAAAUUGAUGAUGUGUCUAGGUGACCUGACAUGCCACAUAGAAUUAAGACCAUAAAUCUUAGACCUUAUUAAGACCCUUUAGCACUACCCAUGAGAAAAACUCUCAAUUCGAUUGGUAA